GCCUGGGUGGCUCAGUCAGUUAAGCGUCUGACUUCGGCUCAGGUCACGAUCUCCCUGUCCGUGGGUUCGAGCCCUGCGUCGGGCU
rnacentral:tRNA from 1 species